ensembl:snoRNA SNORA70 Small nucleolar RNA SNORA70
UUGCUGGCUUGGUUUAGAGAAAGGGUUGCACUGGCUGCAAACAGCAGCUUCUUCGGUAGGUCUGCCAUCAGUUGCCUGUACAGGUUGCCUUAAGGGGCCUUAGAGACAGCU